GAUGAACGCUGGCGGCGUGCCUAAUACAUGCAAGUCGAGCGAACAGACGAGGAGCUUGCUCCUCUGACGUUAGCGGCGGACGGGUGAGUAACACGUGGAUAACCUACCUAUAAGACUGGGAUAACUUCGGGAAACCGGAGCUAAUACCGGAUAAUAUAUUGAACCGCAUGGUUCAAUAGUGAAAGACGGUUUUGCUGUCACUUAUAGAUGGAUCCGCGCCGCAUUAGCUAGUUGGUAAGGUAACGGCUUACCAAGGCAACGAUGCGUAGCCGACCUGAGAGGGUGGUCGGCCACACUGGAACUGGGACACGGUCCAGAGUCCUACGGGAGGCAGCAGUAGGGAAUCUUCCGCAAUGGGCGAAAGCCUGACGGAGCAACGCCGCGUGAGUGAUGAAGGUCUUCGGAUCGUAAAACUCUGUUAUUAGGGAAGAACAAAUGUGUAAGUAACUAUGCACGUCUUGACGGUACCUAAUCAGAAAGCCACGGCUAACUACGUG
rnacentral:rRNA from 1 species